rnacentral:lncRNA from 1 species
UGGCGAAGUCGCUGACAAGAUGAAAGGAGUUUACAGUAUAAAAGUUUGGUGAUUAUUGUCAUGUUUAUAACCCUUUUACGUCUCAAUUUCUUUGUUUUGUCGCUCCCCUAGAGGGGAAACGUGCCGAAAUUGGCCGCAUCACGAGUAAACACGCGAAAGUUUCCCAAGAAAUCGCGGAGGAAACUUUCGACAACACCAGCAUCUCGAGACCACAAAUUCCCGAAGUGGACAAAACUAAUCCGGUAAUGAAUGGGCCUGUUUCAGACGAUCAAGACGACGUAGAUUCAAAGGAAG